rnacentral:rRNA from 1 species
AUUGAACGCUGGCGGCAGGCCUAACACAUGCAAGUCGAGCGGAGCGGCGGACGGGUGAGUAAUGCCUAGGAAUCUGCCUGGUCGUGGGGGAUAACGUCCGGAAACGGGCGCUAAUCCCGCAUCCUUUUUGAUGAGCCUAGGUCGGAUUUGCUAGUUGGAGGGGUAAAGGCCUACCAAGGCGACGAUCCGAAACUGGUCUGAGAGGAUGAUCAGCCACACUGGAACUGAGACACGGUCCAGACUCCUACGGGAGGCAGCAGUGGGGAAUAUUGGACAAUGGGCGAAAGCCUGAUCCAGCCAUGCCGCGUGUGUGAAGAAGGUCUUCGGAUUGUAAAGCACUGUAAGUUGGGAGGCGUUACCAACAGAAUAAGCACCGGCUAACUUCGUGCCAGCCGCCGCGGUAAUAC